GAAGUGCGAAAAGUGUCAUGACUUGCAGAUUCCCGAGAGCUGACAAAUUUCUGAAUGCAAAUGGCGGACCGGUAAAAACGGCCAUGUAUUGCAGAGUGUAGUUGUUCCUACUCUUCAUCCCCCACAUCUUAUGUAUGUCCACAUAUAUAUCUGCCAAGUGCAAUGUGGUGAUUGGGAUCUGCGCUUGCAAUGAUACCAGUGGUACUUACCACUUGGAUUUGCGAGUGUUGAAUUGGAGUGUCUGCUGACUUCCUGCAUCAGGAUUGUUCAGUAGACUGCUUCGCAAGCUAUCUCUCGUAGAUUCUUCAAGAAUCGACUGGGGAAAACGUGUGAAGUUGAAUAUCUCUCAUCUUUUGACACCUACCUCUGCAAUGCAAGAGAACCCGCUGAACUUAA
rnacentral:misc_RNA from 1 species